CGGGUGAGUAACACGUGGAUAACCUACCUAUAAGACUGGGAUAACUUCGGGAAACCGGAGCUAAUACCGGAUAAUAUAUUGAACCGCAUGGUUCAAUAGUGAAAGACGGUUUUGCUGUAACUUAUAGAUGGAUCCGCGCCGCAUUAGCUAGUUGGUAAGGUAACGGCUUACCAAGGCAACGAUGCGUAGCCGACCUGAGAGGGUGAUCGGCCACACUGGAACUGAGACACGGUCCAG
rnacentral:rRNA from 1 species